GAUGAACGCUGGCGGCGUGCCUAAUACAUGCAAGUCGAGCGAACAGACGAGGAGCUUGCUCCUCUGACGUUAGCGGCGGACGGGUGAGUAACACGUGGAUAAACUACCUAUAAGACUGGGAUAACUUCGGGAAACCGGAGCUAAUACCGGAUAAUAUAUUGAACCGCAUGGUUCAAUAGUGAAAGACGGUUUUGCUGUCACGUAUAGAGGGAUCGGGGCCGCAUGAGCUAGUUGUGGAGGUAACGGCUUACCAAGGCGACGAUGCGUAGCCGACCUGAGAGGGUGAUCGGCCACCCUGGAACUGAGACACGGUCCAGACUCCUACGGGAGGACGCAGUAGGAAAUGUUCCGCAAUGGGGGAAAGCAUGACGGAGCAACGCCGCGUGAGUGAUGAAGGUCUUCGGAUCGUAAAACUCUGUUAUUAGGGAAGAACAAAUGUGUAAGUAAAUAUGCACGUCUUGACGGUACCUAAUCAGAAAGCCACGGCUAACUACGUG
rnacentral:rRNA from 1 species